rnacentral:lncRNA from 1 species
CUCUGUGCCACCUAAUUGCUUUAAGACAGCAGUGGGCAGCUAAGGAGAUUCACAGUCAAGAAACUGCUUCCCUUAAUAAAAGAUCAGCACCUGCUUUUCAAAAUAAUCUUCAAGAAAUGUCUAGAAAACUUAUAGGUUAAGGGUCAAAUAGACAGUUGUGUUGUAGAUGGAAUUAAAAGUCAGGUCUUUUCUGACUCCCAGGCUGGAUCUCCAUUUGUUUUACCAUUUGCCUGUCAUUGAGAGAAACUUCAUGGAUUAUCAGGGAAGGAAGGAACACAUACUGGUGAGUGGAGUAUAAUUGCUAAGGGACUUGAAUUUUGAUGGCUGUGGUCACCCAAAGAAGAGUGGAAUCAAUGGUUGGCAUCCCAGGAAGAAGGGAAAGUGUCUGCUUGCAGUAACAGAACUACUGCGAUGGGGCUCUAUAACAACACAAGACUUAGCAGCUUUGGCAUUAUAAGGACAAGGGGCUUGGAACACAAUAUUUUAAAAAGCAAAGGAACUGUGUUUAAAACAAAAAAUAACAUUACCCAACAAAGUUGAUCAAAAUUAUAUAAGGAAAAGGUGAAUAUGGAGUUUUGACUAUUUUGGGGAGAAAUCCAAAAUGUAGUAAAAAAAAUCAUAAGAAGGUAAAGAUAAAAUGCCAAUUAUAGGGCACUGGAC